ensembl:Y_RNA Y_RNA Y RNA
GGCUGGUCCGAAGGUAGUGAGUUAUCUCAACUGAUUUUUCAGUCAGUUACAGAUCAAACUCCUUGUUCUACUCUUUCCCCACUUCUCACUACUGCACUUGACUAGUCUUUA